CAGGUGCUGCAUGGCUGUCGUUCAGCUCGUGUCGUGAGAUGUUGGGUUUAAAGUCCCGUAACGAGCGCAACCCUUGUCCUUAGUUACCAGCACGUUAUGGUGGGCACUCUAAGGAGACUGCCGGUGCAAACCGGAGGAAGGCGGGGAUGACGUCAAGUCAUCAUGGCCCUUACGGCCUGGGCUACACACGUGCUACAAUGGUCGGUACAAAGGGUUGCCAAGCCGCGAGGUGGAGCUAAUCCCAUAAAACCGAUCGUAGUCCGGAUCGCAGUCUGCAACUCGACUGCGUGAAGUCGGAAUCGCUAGUAAUCGUGAAUCAGAAUGUCACGGUGAAUACGUUCCCGGGCCUU
rnacentral:rRNA from 1 species